AUUGAACGCUAGCGGGAUGCCUUACACAUGCAAGUCGAACGGAGUGGCGAACGGGUGCGUAAUGUAUCGGAACGUGCCCAGUAGCGGGGAAUAACUACGCGCAAGCGUAGCUAAUACCGCAUACUAUUGGCGCGGCCGAUAUCGGAUUAGCUAGAUGGUGGGGUAACGGAUCACCAAGCCGACGAUCCGGAGCCGGUUUGAGAGGACGACCAGCCAAACUGGGACUGAGACACGGCCCAGAAUCAUACGGGAGGCAGACGUGGGGAAUUUUGGACAAAGGGGGAAACCCUGAUCCAGCCAUCCCGCGUGUGCGAUGAAGGCCUUCGGGUUGUAAAGCACUUUUGGCAGGAAAGCGGUACCUGCAGAAUAAGCACCGGCUAACUACGUGCCAGCAGCCGCGGUAAUUC
rnacentral:rRNA from 1 species